UACGUAGGGUGCAAGCGUUGUCCGGAAUUAUUGGGCGUAAAGAGCUCGUAGGCGGUCUGUCACGUCGGCUGUGAAAACCCGAGGCUCAACCUCGGGCCUGCAGUCGAUACGGGCAGACUAGAGUUCGGUAGGGGAGACUGGAAUUCCUGGUGUAGCGGUGAAAUGCGCAGAUAUCAGGAGGAACACCAGUGGCGAAGGCGGCUCACUGGCCCGAUACUGACGCUGAGGCACGAAAGCGUGGGGAGCAAACAGG
rnacentral:rRNA from 1 species